AAGAAAAUAUCACUCUUUUUCCCUCGUCAAUUGUCAUGUUUGCUUUCGAGAAAUGUUCGGAUCACCCCAUAUUCUUCUUUAACCAAUUGAUCAUACAACCGAAAAAUGCAAAAUGCAAAAUGAAAAAAAGGAAAUUCCACAUAAAAACUCACUGCAAAUUUUCUUUUCAAUUUGAACUAAAAUUUUGGAAAAAAAAUGAGUUCUGGGGAGCUUCUUAGCGUCGAACCACUGGAAUUGAAAUUCCCAUUUCAAGUAAACAGGCAGAUCUUUUGCUUCAUUCAAGCAUCGAAUCAAACUGAUGAUCAUGUGGCUUUUAAGGUUAAGACGACAAAUCCUAAGAAAUAUUGCGUCAGACCAAACACAGGAAUUAUAUUGCCCCGUUCAUCAUGCGAAAUCAAUGUCACAAUGCAAGCACAAAGGGAAGCUCCCAUUGAUAUGCAAUGCAAGGAUAAGUUUUUGCUUCAGAGUAUUGUGACGAGCCCCGACACAAAUCCUAAAGAUAUCACUCCAGAAAUGUUUACCAAGGAGCAAGGUCAUGUUGAAGAAUGUAAGUUGAAAGUGGUUUACAUUGCACCACCUCAAUCAUCCUCUGAUGCAGAUGGAUCAGAAGAGGGUUCACAAAAGUACAGAAUGGUGGAUAAUUCCACUGAGGUUUCUGCAAUAAUUUCUAGUGUUUCUAUUUUACAAUUACUCAUUUUGCACUCAAGUAAUAUGGCACAUUCCUUUAACUUAUUAACUCUGCUCAUCAUGUAUGUGUAUGUGGGGGUUUCGUUUUUUUGUGCAGUCUACUUACCACUUUUAAUUGAUUACCAUGAUUCAUUACCGCAAAGGGAGUCCACCUUGUGUACUUUCUUUGUAUUUUUAAAUGAUAGUGUGUAUGUGUUAUAGCUUACUUUUUUAUUUUAUAAACAAUACUUAUAAAUAGUAGAUUUCUUAAAAUUUGUGCCAAAGAUUUAUUCAUGUUAUUAUGGGAUGGUGGGAGUAUAUUAUUUCUUGUUUGCUUGUUUCAUUUUUUGCAUUAGGGAGGGAGUAUUAUUACAUUGCUUGAAGCUUCUUGUAGGUUUAGUGGGAUAACCUCCAGUUGUUGGUUUUCUCCUUCCUGUAUUAAACGAUAAAUUUAUCUAUUUUGUCAUAUUCAUGAGAUCAUUUCUGUAUUUUUGAAUAUUAGGCACAAUCUCUUAUUUCCAAACUUACGGAGGAGAAAGCCACUGCAAUCCAAAGGAGUAACAAACUUCAGCAAGAAUUGGAACUCUUGAAGCGAGAAAGCAAAAAGGGUGGCAUAUCUCUCGUAAUCGCAAUCCUUAUCGGCGUGCUGGG